GACGAACGCUGGCGGCGUGCCUAAUACAUGCAAGUAGAACGGUGAGGGAGGGGCUUGCUGGUCUGGAUGAGUGGCGAACGGGUGAGUAACGCGUAGGUAACCUGCCUGGUAGCGGGGGAUAACUACUGGAAACGAUAGCUAAUACCGCAUAAUAGUAGAUGUUGCAUGACGUUUGCUGCAAAGGUGCAAUUGCAUGACUUGGAGACGGGCCUGCGUCGUAUUAGCAUGGUGUUGAGGCAACGGCUGACUAAGGCGACGAUCCAUAGCAAACCUGAGAAGGGGAGCGGCCAGACUGGGAAUGAGACACGGCCCAGACUCAUACGGGUGGCAGCCAGAGGGAUACUUCGGACAUGGACGGAAAACGGAGCGAGCAACGCGGCGGGAGGAAACAAGGAUGUCGGAUGGUGAAUCUCGGGUGUGUGAGUAGAAAGAGUGUUCGACUGGAACGUUCACAGUGUGACGGUAUUUGAUCAGAAAGCUACGGCUAACUACGUG
rnacentral:rRNA from 1 species